GGAUGCGAUCAUACCAGCACUAAAGCACCGGAUCCCAUCAGAACUCCGUAGUUAAGCGUGCUUGGGCGAGAGUAGUACUAGGAUGGGUGACCUCCUGGGAAGUCCUCGGGUUACAUUCC
rnacentral:rRNA from 1 species